rnacentral:misc_RNA from 1 species
AACUGAUACUACCUGCGGGAACCUGCGGAGGGAUCAUUACCGAGUUAGGGUCUCUAUGGCCCGAUCUCCACCCCUGUGUUUAUUAUACCAUGUUGCUUUGGCAGGUCUGCCUUUCGGGGCUGCCGGGGUCUUUGCUGCCCCUGGCGUGCACCUGCCAGAAGCCUUCUUAAAUUCUGUGUUGAAUUGUGUUGUCUGAGUCCCAAUAUUAAAUUAUGAAAAACUUUUAACAAUGGAUCUCUA